UCUUGGCUCUUUCUUGGAGGGUCGGCCGGACAGUUGGAAGCUCCCUGGUGGCAUUUUAAUGAAGACUGUUAUACCUCAGAUCUCCCCCAAUCACAGCUACCCUCCCCUGCAGGGUCUGAAACGGUCUCUAGCGCCAGCGAAGCUCACCCAGGUGAAGAGCGGGACUGCCCUGUCUGUGGCUUUUUCCGUGCACUAGGUCAGUGCUUCUCAUUUCUAGAGCAGUCUUUCCUCGGAUAUUAUGCUCUAUGAGUCUCUUUCGAUGAUUAGCAAUUGCAAUCAUGGUUUGAGAGACAGGGAUUCAUUCAGGAAGUGGAAUACACCAAGUUAAGUGCCAGUUACUGUGCUGGGGCCUGAGGGCUGCAGGUACCUGAGGUCAGACUCAUCUCCAGUUUGACAAGCCCUGACAUAGUCCAGGCACCCUGAGGACAUCAUCAUCUCUCAGCUUUGGCCAAGAGAAAACAGUGGGUUCAUUAAGUGCUUUGCCUACAACAGGAUUUCACCAUAAUGUCUGCGGGCAGCUUUAUGAUUCCUGAUCCAGACCAUUCUCUGAACUGCAGAAGCCACUGAAAUGUCUCUGGAUGGGCAUCUUGUGCUCUCAUGUCCACUACCGUGGAGACUGGGAGUGGAGCAGGGGAUGCGGUUCCUUUGCAGAUUUUUUUUUCCAGCUGUGGCUUUCACAAACCGCAUGGAAGACUGCAAGUCUUGUCUGAUCAGCAGGCUGAAGACUUGAGCUUGUACAGUACUUACUCAGUGGUACUGUUUGGUGUACCCACAGCCAGGGGACUCUUUGGCUGAUCCUGGAAACCCAGAGCAGUGGCAGAGACUGAUUCAAUUAUUGGGAGGAGUUUUCACAGCCUUCAAUUUGAAAGAGCCGGUACAAAUUUGGUACCAGGAAGAAGAGCAUUGCAGUUAGAUGUCCUGGUUCUGCUGAGCCUGAACUAAGCACCGCCUGAGCUGAAGACAAGUACAGAGUUGGGUUGGCCCAGAGGUAAUGAUGCUCAGUGGUAGCAGCUUAAAACAACAAAUACAUGAUUUUUUCCACAUAGUUCCUGUGGGUCAGGAAUGUUGGAAAAGCUUAGUUGGGUGGUUCUGGCUCAGCAUCCCUCAUGAGGUUGCAGUCAAACCAUUGGCAAGGGGCUACAGUCAUCCAAAGACUCGAAUGAGGCUGGAAGAUCCACUUCCAAGCUCAUUCAUAUCGAUCUUUGUAGAAAGUGUCAGUUCCAUGUCAGAGU